UAUUUAACAGACAAUGAGCUGGGAAAUGAAAAUGCCAUUUUAAUAUAUUUUAUCAAUAUAACACUUAUAGUAGAAUUUUUUUAAAGCAAACUUUUUAUAUUAUGCUUAGACUAAAUAAAAAUCAUGACAUCACGAGAUGAGAAUGCAUGGAAUACUGAAAAAAUUUACUAGUCAAUAUAACAAAAUGAUAAGAUAACAUUGAGAAUUGAUAGGAGGAUAUAUUUAUAAAAAAAUAUCACGUGAUUUAUUUGCUGUCAUCAAUGAGUGUCAUCAUCAGGUUGGCUGUUUGAUGAUGAAAAGGUUCAACAUGGCUGCUAUGAAAACAUUGGAUUUGAAAAAAUAAUAAUAAAAGCAUUGUAAUUUAUAAGCCAGUAGUGAUAUGUGUUGAUGGAUUAAUUGGAUCCUUGAACACUUCCACCUCUACGUCCAUCAGCAACACCAAGAAUACUGUCACCUUCUCUUGACAAAGCACAAACGGCACUGGUGAUUCCUUUCAUUUCAACAGUAUUAUGUUUAUAAACGUCUUUAAGUUGUGAGACGACAUGCGCAUCACAUGAUUCUUCAUAAGAAAGUUCCAUGUUGGGAUAGACGUCUUGAUGGUAUCUUGAUCCAUCAACAGCAUCUUUAAGUCCUUGUUUCAACCACAAGUAUCUAACAAGUACCUAAUCGUAAAAAAGAAAAAAAAUUUAUAUUUAAUUGUAAUUAAAAUGAUUAACAUUUAACAAGAAUAUUUAUUUACUGAUGAAACA